UGUUGUUUUUUUUUUAGAUUUAGAUUUUUAAAAAAAGUUUUAUACAUUUUAACAUUUUUUUCGACCAAUGAAAAAGAAGCAUUUAUUUCUUUUAAGCUCGCGAUAUUCGGCACAAACUGGAUUAUUUAGUCUUCACUCUAGAGCGUACACACGUGGAUCAAAUUAGAGCUAGCUAGAUCUAGAUCUAAAUCUAGUUGAAGAUAUCUACUUGGUAGUCUAAACCUCAAAGGAGCUUAGGGAAGUGAUGGCAGUUGCAGGGUAUGAACCAGACGACCAUGCAGAGACCAACGAAGCGACCAAACAGUCCAUCGUGCAUACCACAUAACCAAGUCCAGAAUGCCAGUUUUCUUUAAGGGCAGCUGACAAUAAGAAUUGUCUAUGUAUGCACUACAGAUGCUGUUCAAUAUCUUUUCAUGAGGAAGCCUGCUCAAAAAGAUCGCCACAUUUUCUUUAGGGGAAGUUGACAUUAAUCUUUUAGGUUAAUAAUAAUCUAUGCAUGCAGUACAGAUGCUGUUCAUCAUCUUUUCAUAAGCAAGCCUGCUCAAGAAGCUGCUGCAUGGAAGUCAAAAUAUGAAUUAUUGCCACCAGUCUUGAAGUCAGCUUGUAAAGAAUGCUAAGAAUUGAAUGAAAAUGCUGUCUUGAUAUCUUGUUUGUGCUGUUAUAUUUGUCUUUUGUGUUGGUUAAUUAUUCCAUGAAUAAAAAAUAAAAAAAAGUUAA